AUCUAGAACCAGAAGAGCUUCUGAUUUACUCUGCUUUUGAGAGAGAGAGAGAGAGAGAGAGAGAGAGAGAGAGGGAGAGGGAGAAAGAGAGCGAGCCUAGAGAUCUGUUCUUGUGUUUUCUUUUCGAAAGCAAAACAAUAAGGAAAGCGGCGAUGAAGAGCUUCACAAAAUUGCUUACUCGAGUCGUUCGAAGAGAACUCUACAGAGAAGAUAAAGCCAUGUUCUCCUGUCGCCGCCUCUUCUUUGUUUCUUCUACAAGAGCUUCUUUGUUGCAGCAGAAUCAAAACACAUUUGACGCUUCCUAUCCGUUAAAAUCAUUGCCCACAUCAUCAUUCAACUCCACAAAAUGGGGCCUUCUUGGAGCACAGAAAAGGAGCAUGUUUAUUCAGACCCAGCCAACACCCAACCCUUCAUCUCUUAUGUUCUACCCUGGGAAGCCAGUUAUGGAAGUUGGAAGUGCAGACUUUCCAAAUGCUCGUUCAGCCAUGAAUUCUCCUCUAGCAAAAGCUCUCUAUGGCAUUGAUGGAAUUACUCGAGUAUUCUUUGGAUCGGAUUUUGUAACUGUGACAAAGUCAGAUGAUGUAUAUUGGGACCUCUUAAAACCUGAAAUUUUUGCAGCAAUCAUGGACUUCUAUACUUCUGGACAGCCACUGUUUAUAGACUCCAGUGUUGCAGCUUCCAUGGACACUGCUAUUCGUGAGGACGAUUCAGAGACUGUUGCUAUGAUCAAAGAACUACUGGAGACUCGUAUCCGACCAGCAGUUCAAGAUGAUGGUGGUGACAUUGAGUAUCGAGGAUUUAACCCAGAAACUGGAGUGGUUAAACUAAGGAUGCAAGGUGCAUGUAGUGGCUGUCCUAGUUCAUCUGUGACCCUGAAAUCAGGCAUUGAAAACAUGCUAAUGCAUUAUGUGCAAGAGGUUAAAGGUGUUGAACAAGAACUAGAUGAUGAAGAGGAAGCAGUAAAUCUUACCAGCCAGAUGGAUUAACUCUCAUUAAACGGUGAAGUCAGGUUGAGUUCAGAUUAGCCAAAACCCAUAGCAUACAUGGCCACACCAGAAACCUAAGCUGUGCAGAAGAUCAUUACCAUGUUAUUUGUUCCAGUGUUACUUAUUUUCUUCGUCAUCUUUUUCUGUCUUCCUUGUGACGGAACAAAAUGGUUCAGGGUUUGAAAAUUUAAAUGAGAGGUCAUGGGUAAAACUGGUUUUAUUGGUCAGGUGGACCUGUUUCUAUGAACUACAGUCCUGAAUGAUAUUGACACUAAAAUCCAGCAGUGAACGAACAGUAUAUAGACCUUUGGAUGGAAGGAGCAGCAUGAGUUUUCAGAAGGUUUACACGGGAGUAUUAUUUCACAAUGUAGCAGUGCACACCAUGUCUGUUCUCUACUAAAAUGACAUCAGUGUAAUAAAUUAUCUAUGGGGAAUGAGUACGAAAUCAGGGUGUUUAAGAGCA